UACGUAGGGGGCAAGCGUUGUCCGGAAUUAUUGGGCGUAAAGAGCGUGUAGGCGGUCCGGUAAGUCGGCUGUGAAAGUCAAGGGCUCAACCCUUGGAUGCCGGUGGAUACUGCAGGGCUAGAGUUCGGAAGAGGCGAGUGGAAUUCCUGGUGUAGCGGUGAAAUGCGCAGAUAUCAGGAGGAACACCGAUGGCGAAGGCAGCUCGCUGGGACGAUACUGACGCUGAGGCGCGAAAGCGUGGGGAGCAAACAGG
rnacentral:rRNA from 1 species